CUUGAGGCUGCACUGGACCUGAGCCGGGAAGAAGAGAGCAGAGACCCGCCAAGCUCCUCUGGCCCAGCUGGUGUGCCCCUGCUGCUCGAGUAGGAGUCCCGGUGGGACCAGCGUCCCCAGCCCGGUGCCCACGCAGACGAUGAACCCAGGAUGUAAAUAUUUUCCAGUCCAAGGAAGAGUCUCCAGUGGGCUGGAGCUGGUCGAUGAGCCGCCACGUCCUGCAUGCAGGGUCUCUGGGAGCGUCUCCAAGGGCAGCCUCCACCUGGGAGCCACAGGAACCAGGAUUUCCCACUUCUCCUCUAGGAACAAAGCAUCGUGAGCUGCAGGAGAGGAGAGAAGACAUAUCGAGGGGUUUAUUUUAUGGCGAUUGUGAAAAUGGUUAGUGGGUAAGGUGUGGAGAGCUCAUGGUGUAGCAUGAGAAAAAUGCGGGGUCUCUCCUGCCAAGAGUGACUGGCAGAGAGAAAGAGGAAGAGUGCCUUUCUCUGUGGUUUGAGACUUUUUACUAGAGAAGACAAAACCGAGAAAACUCGCUAUGCAAAUUUACAUGUUUCAUUAAUAUUUACCACUUGGUCCAAUUUGAUGAAAAGGAGUCAAGAGUGUGGAAGCAGAAGAAGUGGCCACCCAGAUGGAGGCUCGCAGUUGCUGAUCUUUCUGCUGCUGCGAGGACACUUGAGGCAGGCCAGCCAUCUCCCGCCACGUCCCCUCUGCCCCACAACUCACGCCAUGCGGGAAAACCAAGAGCAGGCACGGGGCGGGCACGGCUGCCCCGAGAGGCCCAGCCAGCUGGGACAGGUCAGAGACCAGGCAGGCCAGCCCAGCGAGGUGGCUCUGGAGGGGAACUCUUCCGCUCAUUUCCUGUGUUUACAUCACACGUUGGACUGUUAUCACAUUAACGUGAUGUUGAUCUAACCUCAUGUUUGUGUCUCAGCUAAAAAACGAAAGUAAGCUGGGAGCAGUGGACUCCCACGGGGAUGAGUGGAAGUCAGCACUGCGUGCCAGCCUCGAGGAACCCACUGACCAGCCACGCAGACCGCUGCCCAGGACGGGCCGAAGGAAACACCACCACGGUCCCAGCCAGAGCACUCAAAGGGCACAGUGGCCUAGCCACGGAGGACCCCUUCCUCCAUGACAACACAAGCUUGAUAAGGAUACUUGGUUAGCACAUAAAAUUGUAGGAAAUAUACUUGCUUAUCAAGAAAUAUUCCAGUAAUUGAGAAAGGUGUUUAUUUUUUAAGUUACAAUUUUUUCUUCCUUAAAAAAAAAUGGUCUUGAAAAGUACUGAUGGUUUCUCGUUUUUUUCCCUUCACUAGCUUCAUGCCAGUUAGUGAAACUGACAACUCAAAUUCUUAAAUUGAUCAGUGUAGACCAUAUCUGGCUUGGAUGUAAGUAUUACUGAGCAACCCACCUGUGGUAAGAGCCCUCUGCUGCUCACGGUAGUAAAACCCUCCCACAGCCUCUGAUCCUGUGGUCUUUGAAAAUCAAGGUUAAAUGUGGGGCUCCAGCCCCAGGCAGGGAGCUGCCUCUGGGAUCCAGGCAACAUGGGCUGGUGCCACCUGGAUGCAGAGCAGAGCCAGUGGUUUCCGGCUGCAGCUGGCGCCACCUCGUGGCCGCUGCGCACAGCGGCGAGCUACCCUGAGGCAGGAUUCUGAGGCUACUUGGCACCCUGUCCUGGCUCUACCUGCUGAAGACUCAGAGGAGGCAGCCACCACUUUGCUUCAUCACCGCCUGGCUGCCUGUCACUUUCAAGAUGAGAAUUUUACCCGUUAUCCUUUGAGUUCUCCUAUAAGUGCUCUUUAUCAGGAUUCAGAUGAUCUUGGUGAGGAGUUCUACCUGAAUUUAAAAUAUUAAAAGUUACUGAGAACUAGAACAAGAUUCUGGGAAUGCUUCCAGGUGAUAAUUCCUCUGUGCAUUCCUAGUUUUGCUAAGCAUCUGAGGCUGGCUUGGGACUUUCGAUCCUCCGGCCUUAGCCUCCGGAGCUGCUGGGAUUACAGGCACUGCACCAGGCUUGGUUCCGCAUGAUGUUAGGAUAGUGCCGCCCAGCCCCUCAGUGGUCUCAAGAAGUGCCCUGUCACUGAGCAGGGACUCCUGCAGGCCAGAAUGCCUCUCCACCCCCGUCUGAGUAGGCCAGGUGGGCAAAACCACAGCCCACCACCUGGAGAGAGGCCACACAGGAGCCCUCAUACUGUUUUGACUUAGGACUUCUAAAAACAAUUUCAAUUGUGACAGGAGACAGUGUUUUUUAAUUGAUAAAGUUAUUUUUUUAAAGCACUAUGAAAUAUUUUAUGCAGAAAAUUAUAGAGAAAUUAGAAAUUGCUCAUGAUUUCACCACCUCAAAAAGUCAAACUGUUUUUAAGGGAAUACAUAAAUGUGUUUCAAAAAUUCAUGUUGAGAAUCAUGAAAUGAAAAUUAGAAAGUCUUUCCUCAUCUUCUCCCCCAAGUCACCCCACUGACCAUGAGGAAGUUUCCCAUACAGUCGCCAGGUUUGUGCAUGUGCUAGAACAGUUCGACCUCUUGUUUUUGCACUUGAUGUAUUUUGGAAAUCUUUCCUUAUCAUCACGCACACAUCUGCAUCAUUAAAAGGAUAAGAGAAAACCA